rnacentral:rRNA from 1 species
UACGUAGGGGGCAAGCGUUGUCCGGAAUCAUUGGGCGUAAAGAGCGUGUAGGCGGCCUGAUAAGUCGGCUGUGAAAGUCAAGGGCUCAACCCUUGAAUGCCGGUCGAUACUGUCAGGCUAGAGUCCGGAAGAGGCGAGUGGAAUUCCUGGUGUAGCGGUGAAAUGCGCAGAUAUCAGGAGGAACACCUAUGGCGAAGGCAGCUCGCUGGGACGGUACUGACGCUGAGACGCGAAAGCGUGGGGAGGCGAACAGG